rnacentral:rRNA from 1 species
UAGGGAAUCUUCGGCAAUGGGGGCAACCCUGACCGAGCAACGCCGCGUGAGUGAAGAAGGUUUUCGGAUCGUAAAGCUCUGUUGUAAGUCAAGAACGAGUGUGAGAGUGGAGAGUUCACACUGUGACGGUAGCUUACCAGAAAGGGACGGCUAACUACGUGCCAGCAGCCGCGGUAAUACGUAGGUCCCGAGCGUUGUCCGGAUUUAUUGGGCGUAAAGCGAGCGCAGGCGGUUUGAUAAGUCUGAAGUUAAAGGCUGUGGCUCAACCAUAGUUCGCUUUGGAAACUGUCAAACUUGAGUGCAGAAGGGGAGAGUGGAAUUCCAUGUGUAGCGGUGAAAUGCGUAGAUAUAUGGAGGAACACCGGUGGCGAAAGCGGCUCUCUGGUCUGUAACUGACGCUGAGGCUCGAAAGCGUGGGGAGCGAACAGGAUUAGAUACCCUGGUAGUCCACGCCGUAAACGAUGAGUGCUAGGUGUUGGAUCCUUUCCGGGAUUCAGUGCCGCAGCUAACGCAUUAAGCACUCCGCCUGGGGAGUACGACCGCAAGGUUG